CCUACGUGAGGCAGCAGUGAGGAAUAUUGGUCAAUGGGCGCGAGCCUGAACCAGCCAAGUAGCGUGAAGGAUGACUGCCCUACGGGUUGUAAACUUCUUUUUUAAAGGCAUAACGUGAGGCACGUGUGCCUUUUUGUAUGUACUUUAUGAAUAACGAUCGGCUAACUCCGUGCCAGCAGCCCGUGUACUACGGAGGGAGCAAGCGUUGUCAGGAAGUACUGGGCGUAAAGGGCCGGUAGGUGGGUGCUUACGUCAGGUGUGCAAAGUCCGGGCUCAACCUGGGGACUGCACUUGAAACUGGGUGUCUUGAGGGCAGUAGAGGAAAGUGGAAUUCCUAGUGUAGCGGUGAAAUGCGUAGAUAUUAGGAGGAACACCAGUGGCGAAGGCGACUUUCUGGACUGUACCUGACGCUGAGGCGCGAAAGCGUGGGUAGCGAACGGGAUUAGAGACCCUAGUAGUC
rnacentral:rRNA from 1 species